rnacentral:rRNA from 1 species
UACAGAGGUCUCAAGCGUUGUUCGGAUUCAUUGGGCGUAAAGGGUGCGUAGGUGGCGCCGUAAGUCAGGUGUGAAAUUUCGGAGCUUAACUCCGAAACUGCAUUUGAUACUGCGGUGCUUGAGGACUGGAGAGGAGACUGGAAUUUACGGUGUAGCAGUGAAAUGCGUAGAUAUCGUAAGGAAGACCAGUGGCGAAGGCGGGUCUCUGGACAGUUCCUGACACUGAGGCACGAAGGCCAGGGGAGCAAACGGG